AUGAUGCAGUAUAUGUAUAAAUAAAUAGUCCGGUAGUGCAAAUGAACAUGUGGUACACGUAGCAAAAACAAUAUCAAUAUAGCAGCAAUUAAACUUAACUUUAACUUUACUUAAAUACUCUAUUUAAGUACCAUUUUUAGGUACUUAAGGUACUUUUAGGAACUUUAGUUUGUUCAUUUUCUCCUACUUUCUACUUCACUACAUUUCAGAGGGAAAUAUUGUACUUUUUACUCCGCCACAGUUACCUGGCAGCUAUAGAUACUUUGUAGGUAAAGAUUUUACAAACAAAACAUCCGAUCAGUUUAAUAUGAUGCAUUGUCAUAGAUUAAAUGACACAACAGUAUGUAAAGUAUUUAAAGUCAGCUCCACCUUGACCAACAUUCAAAUAAUAAUAAUGCAAUAAAAUAUGUAAUAAUAACAAUAUAACGGAUCCAAUCUGCAUUAAGAGCAUUUUAAGUACAUUUUACCUCUGUACUUUUACUUAAGUAAAAAUUUGAAUGCUUGACUUUAUCUUGUAACAGUAUAUUUUUUACAUCUGAAUACUUCCAUCUUUAGGCAGUGGCUGCAGGUGCCAGCAUGGAUGUUUAUCCCACCUGCAGCUGCAUUUAUGCAAUCAUUAUAUUAUAUUAUAUUAUUGCAUUACCUUUCUGUGUCCACAGAGGGCAGCAUAGUUUCAUUUGCCUUUUAGAUUUCCGGUUGAAUUUCCUCUCCCACCUGGAGCAUCAGCAGCACCUGUGAGUUUAGAGAUGAAAGCGCAGCUGCCAUGUGUGCUGUGAGCAUAAACCUUGUUAAUGUAUGAGCCUGUAUGUAUUGUUAAAGGUGUGUCAGUGCACCUUAGAGCUGGAUCGCUUGCUGAUGAGAAGCUGGAUUCACUCUCGAAGUAGGUGUGAUGGUUUGGUAAACCCUGUUCGCUAAAGUCCUGAAGAAGCACUAGCACACAGGGGUGUAGAAGAAAGUAUGUACUGCAGCCAGCAACCAGACUCUAUGCAAUUUUCUGAGUAUUUAAAAAACAAACAAAAACAAAACAAAUGUCACAUUUUAUUUAUUAAUCUAACCUUUUCUGUAAAUGUUAUCUCCCUACUUUAUAGUCUAAAUCCUGUUUCAAAGUCUUAUUUAUAUCAAAGUUUUAAUCUAUUUAAUGCUUUGCCUAAAAACAUUCAAUUCUAAGACAUUUAGUCUGAAAAAUAUUAGCAUCAGUCUGCAGGCAAACUCCUCUUCAUGUCAUUAAACUCACUAAAUUCCCUGAAAUAUUACCAAGAACAUGACCUCAUUGUCCUCAGUGGUAGCUGCGGAAAAAACACACUGUUCUUAAUAGGAUUUCUCAGUAAUUGUGCAACAUGAAAAUCAUAAGCUAAAAACUGAAUCCAGUGACUGUGACACACAUUGAACUGAGACAUGUAACAUCCAAAGUGGAUUCCUAGAAAGAAAAAGACAAGAUGAGACCAUCUGGAACAAGGAUUGCACAAAAGCAGAGAUAUUGGGAGAAUAAAGUUGUGUGAAUUAAUACGAAUCCAAACCUCAAAAAAAGGACAAUUACACCCUGAUGCUUUUUAUUCAAAAUGUAAUGAUACCGCAUGUUAUUCACAUUGAUAAUCUCUCUUUCUCCUUUCAGGUUUCACUCUGUAGCGCCGAGGUGUCGGACAAGCAGAAGGCUGCACAGCGGUGGAAGUAUUCAGAUCCUUUAUUUAAGUUAAAGUAGCGAUGCCACGAUCAGAUUUAAUCCCAUCACACUGUAACCGUCCAGGAGAAACCAGCAAUGCUAGCAGUGUGGCUCCAGCGGUGGAAGAAGUACUCCGAUCUUUUACUUAAAAAUAGCAAUACAGUGUAGAAAUACUCUAAGUAAAAGUCCCGCAUUUAACAUCUAACUUAAGUACAAAAGUAUUGGCAUCAAAAUAUACUUAAAGCACCAAAAGUAAAAGAUCUCAUUAUGCAGAAUAGCCCACAUGAUUAUUGAUGCAUUAAUGCGUCCAUC